rnacentral:SRP_RNA from 1 species
CCCCAGGUCCGCAGAGCGAAGACCCACCGAACCCCGUCAGGGCCGUGCAGGCAGCAGCGGUACGUGCGGCGAUCGCGGCUGCGGUUCACCUGGGGCAU